rnacentral:tRNA from 1 species
GGUUAUGUCUCAGUGGUAGAGUGCUCGCCUUGCAUGUGCAAGGCCCUGGGUUUGAGCCUCAGCACCA